rnacentral:rRNA from 1 species
CCUACGGGUGGCUGCAGUAAGGAAUAUUGGUCAAUGGACGAAAGUCUGAACCAGCCAUGCCGCGUGAAGGAUGAAGGUCCUCUGGAUUGUAAACUUCUUUUAUCUGGGACGAAAAAAGGGAAUUCUUUCUCACUUGACGGUACCAGAAGAAUAAGCACCGGCUAACUCCGUGCCAGCAGCCGCGUUAAUACGGAGGGUGCAAGCGUUAUCCGGAUUCACUGGGUUUAAGGGGGGCAGAUGAGUCCAGUUAGAAAUCUCCGUGCUUAACCCGGAAACUGCCAUUGAUACUAUCGGUCUUGAAUACUCUGGAGGUAAGCGGAAUAUGUCAUGUAGCGGUGAAAUGCUUAGAUAUGACAUAGAACACCGAUUGCGAAGGCAGCUUACUACGGAGUCAUUGACACUGAGGCACGAAAGCGUGGGGAUCAAACAGGAUUAGAUACCCCUGUAGUC